GAUGAACGCUGGCGGCGUGCCUAAUACAUGCAAGUCGAGCGAACGGACGAGAAGCUUGCUUCUCUGAUGUUAGCGGCGGACGGGUGAGUAACACGUGGAUAACCUACCUAUAAGACUGGGAUAACUUCGGGAAACCGGAGCUAAUACCGGAUAAUAUUUUGAACCGCAUGGUUCAAAAGUGAAAGACGGUCUUGCUGUCACUUAUAGAUGGAUCCGCGCUGCAUUAGCUAGUUGGUAAGGUAACGGCUUACCAAGGCAACGAUGCAUAGCCUACCUGAGAGGGGGAUCGGCCACACUGGAACUGAGACACGGUCCAGACUCCUACGGGAGGCAGCAGUAGGGAAUCUUCCGCAAUGGGCGAAAGCCUGACGGAGCAACGCCGCGUGAGUGAUGAAGGUCUUCGGAUCGUAAAACUCUGUUAUUAGGGAAGAACAUAUGUGUAAGUAACUGUGCACAUCUUGACGGUACCUAAGCAGAAAGCCACGGCUAACUACGU
rnacentral:rRNA from 1 species